rnacentral:rRNA from 1 species
UGAAAACUAGAAUGAAAGGCUUAACGUUUUAAUAAUAUAUUAAUAAUACCAGCUUUCGAAAUUUUAUCAAAUAUAAAAAUAUAUUUAUGUAAUAAAUAGACGAUAAGACCCUAUUGAACUUUACCUACGUUUAGCUGGGGCAGCUCUCUAAUAAAAAUUUUAGAAAAACUUAUAUAAAUCAUUCAAUAGAAUUGAAUUCAUCAAGUUACCAUAGGGAUAACAGCGUAAUAUUAUUCUAAAGUUCUUAUUUAAAAUAAUGUUUGCGACCUCGAUGUUGAAUUAUUAUUCUUUAUUAAUGCAAUAAUUAUAAAAGUAGGUCUGUUCGACCUUUAAUAUAAUACAUGAUUUGAGUUCAAACCGGUGUAAACCAGGUUGGUUUCUAUCUUUUUGUAAUAUUUUUCUAGUACGAAAGGACAAAAAAAUAAAUUAUAAAUUUAAUAAAUAAAUUUAUAUAGCAAAUAAAUGCAUUAGAAUUAGAAUCUAAAAAUACUUAUAUAAAUUCAUUAAUUAAUUUUAUUAUCCCAUUAAUCUGUAUUUUAGUUGCAGUAGCAUUUUAUACAAUCUUAGAACGAAAGAUUUUAGGAUAUAUCCAAAUUCGAAAAGGUCCUAAUAAAGUAGGAUUCAUAGGAAUUUUACAACCUUUUAGAGAUGCUAUUAAACUUUUUAAUAAAAAUCUUAUUUCGUCAGAAUUAAUAAAUUAUUAUUUAUCAUACAUCACUCCCGCUAUAUCUUUAUUUUUAGCUUUAAUAAUCGUAUCGGUUAUCCCUUUUUAUUUUUUUAAUCACUUUGAUAAUAAACAAAAUAUUCUUACAUUCUUUAUCAUUUCUAGUCUAUCAGUUUAUAUUA